GCGUUGUAGGUGUUAUUAGAUGCACACUACGUUGCCAGCGUAGAGGCACGGGUGCGAAUCCCGUACGACGCUCCA
rnacentral:tRNA from 1 species